rnacentral:rRNA from 1 species
UGCCAGCAGCCGCGGUAAUACGGGAGGGGCAAGCGUUAUCCGGAAUAACUGGGCGUAAAGGGUCCGUAGACAGUAAUGUAAGUUAUUUGUUAACUUUUAAAGCUUAACUUUAAAUUGGCAAAUAAUACUGCUUUACUUGAGUUUUUGUCAGAAGAACAGAAUUUUAUAAGAAGGGGUGAUACCUGUAGAUAUAUAAAGGAAUAUCAUUAGCGAAAGCGGUUCUUUAGUAAAAACUGACGUUGAGGGACGAAAGUGUAGGGAGCAAACAGGAUUAGAUA